AGGUGUUUUUCCUCAAUGACACGUUUUCUCCCGGAUUGCUGGCGACACUAAACGCAACCGGGAAUUUCGUGUCAGCCAAGAAUGACACCU
rnacentral:pre_miRNA from 1 species